UACGUAGGGUGCGAGCGUUGUCCGGAAUUAUUGGGCGUAAAGAGCUCGUAGGCGGUCUGUCGCGUCGAAUGUGAAAACCCGGGGCUCAACUCCGGGCUUGCAUUCGAUACGGGCAGGCUAGAGUUCGGUAGGGGAGUCUGGAAUUCCUGGUGUAGCGGUGAAAUGCGCAGAUAUCAGGAGGAACACCGGUGGCGAAGGCGGGACUCUGGGCCGAUACUGACGCUGAGGCGCGAAAGCGUGGGGAGCAAACAGG
rnacentral:rRNA from 1 species